AUAGUCCUACGGGACGCAGCAGUGAGGAAUAUUGGUCAAUGGGCGCGAGCAUGAACCAGCCAAGUCGCGUGAGGGAAGACGGUCCUAUGGAUUGUAAACCUCUUUUGUCGGGGAGCAAAAGACGCCACGUGUGGCGUUCCGAGAGUACACGAAGAACAAGCAUCGGCUAACUCCGUGCCAGCAGCCGCGGUAAUACGGAGGAUGCGAGCGUUAUACGGAUUUAUUGGGUUUAAAGGGUGCGCAGGCGGAAGAUCAAGUCAGCG
rnacentral:rRNA from 1 species